UUUUUUUUUUUUUUUUAAUUUUUAUUUAUUCAUGAUAGGCACACAGUGAGAGAGAGAGAGAGGCAGAGACACAGGCAGAGGGAGAAGCAGGCUCCAUGCACCAGGAGCCUGACGUGGGAUUCGAUCCUGGAUCUCCAGGAUCGCGCCCUGGGCCAAAGGCAGGCGCCAAACCGCUGUGCCACCCAGGGAUCCCUGCAGAUAGAAUUCUAAGGAAGUUCUAGAGUAUUGUUAUAUAAAUGAGUUUACACUGAAAUAGGUGUAGCCUUAUGGUAAUGGAUAUGAAAUGAGAGAAAUGCUGAUUUAAUAGUUUUAUUUAGUAUAGGUUUCAUUAUUUCCAGGUAAUGGGUAGAGAAGAGCAGAUACCCCUCAGAGAGCACAGAUGACAUUGCCAGGUGCUAUUGAAAUGGUGCUGAGAGUGUUUAGGGAGUGAAUGAGUUAGUAGAGCACAAGCCCUCUCAUUUGACAUAGUUGGGACCUGUAGUUGAUUGAUGUUAUGGACCAUAUUGUAUCUACUGUUAAAAUUUAUAUGUUGAAGUCCUCCCACUGUGACUGUGUUUGGACAUAAGAAAUUCAAGGAGGUAAUUAAGAUUAAAAAAUGUCAUAAGAAAGGGGCCUUAAUCCAAUAGGACUGGUAUACGAUAAGGAUGAGACGCAAGACAUUUUCUGGGUGUGCCCAGAGGAGAGGCCACUUGAGGACACAGUGAGAAUGCAGCCAUCUGCAAGCCAGGAAGAGAGAGAGCUCAACAUAAAUCAACCUUGCUGAGACCUGGAUCUUGGACUUUCAGCCUCCAGAGAUAGGGGAAAAUAAAUUUCUAUCGUUUAAGCCACUCAAUCAGUGGUAGUUUGUUAUGGCCGCCUGAGGUGACUAAUACAGUUGGCUAACCAAAAUUUUGGUUAGGGCAGGGAAUCAUAAAAAAUUAUUUAUGUACCUUUAAAAAAACUACUGAGAUAUAAAGGCCACACAGUCAACUCCAUGUUUUUAAAGUAAGUUUGAAAGGUGUCUGGCUGACUUAGUAGAGCAUGUGAUAGAGCAUGUGACUCUUGAUCUCAGGGUUGUGAGUUCAAGCCCCACAUUGGGCAUGAAGCCUACUUAGAAAAAUAAAGUGGAUGAUUUGAUAAAUUUUGACACAUAUAUAUGCCCAUUAAACCCAUCACAACAAUCAAGAUAGUGAACACAUUUACCACCUUUGAAAGAGUCUUCAUUUCCUUCAUAACCCCUCCUAUUUGGUCUGGUUUCUUUUACUCAGUUAUCUGAGAUUCAUCUAAUGUUUCAUUCCUUUUUAUUGCUGAGUUGUAUUCCAUUGUAUAUAUUUGCUACAAUUUUUUCAAUUUUAUUUAAAAAGUUUUUCCUGCUUUA
rnacentral:lncRNA from 1 species